AUUGAACGCUGGCGGCAGGCCUAACACAUGCAAGUCGAACGAGUGGCGGACGGGUGAGUAAUGUCUGGGAAACUGCCCGAUGGAGGGGGAUAACUACUGGAAACGGUAGCUAAUACCGCAUACCAUCGGAUGUGCCCAGAUGGGAUUCGCUCGUGGGUGGGGUAAUGGCUCACCUCGGCGACUAUCCCUCGCUGGUCUGAGAGGAUGACCAGCCACACUGGAACUGAGACACGGUCCAGCCUCCUCCGGUAGCCAGCAGUGGGGAAUAUUGCACAUUGGGCGCAAGCCUGAUGCAGCCAUGCCGCGUGUAUUAAGAAGGCCUUCGGGUUGUAAAGUACUUUCAGCGAGGAGGCGUUACUCGCAGAAGAAGCACCGGCUAACUCCGUGCCAGCAGCCGCGGUAAUUC
rnacentral:rRNA from 1 species